CCGGACUGCCCUUAACUUAUAUAAAAUGGAUUCUAUUGAUAUAUCUCUUAACUCUAUAAACACAUAAUAUGUCAAGCAUAACUCACACAUUUUACAUGUUGAAAUUCCUAAAAGUGAUAGAACUAUUUCUAGUUUUGCUACUAUAACUGUUGUAUACUCUGACAGUGUAAACACGCCUCUCCACCCUAUCUGUAGAAAUAGAGUAUCCCAUCUAUAAAGAAUGGUAAAAGGGCUUUUGUGAUCAUCGACCACGGAAAUAGAAAUGUAAGUGCUGUUACUUUACCAACUUGAACUUGUUGCUCCUGUAAACAAACACGCAUGGAUCAUUUCACGAAGUAUUUGUCCGGAUAGUUAGUUACCACUAGGCCUUCCAGUCAAAAAACAUCAUCGAUGAAGGCGUGUAGGUGCACUAUUCCGUGGAGGGGAUUGUAACUUUCCAUAAACUCCCUAUUUGUCAGUCAACAACAGAACCUUUCUCAUUUCUUUUUCUGAAUGAUAUUCCUGUUCCAAUUUUUGCCUCUUUCACCUCCAUCUGAAUCAAGACUCUUCAUUGUUGUAGGUUAGGUAAUCGAGACAUUUAGUCGCAAUUACCUUAUACGUAACCUGAUUGUGUAAAUUUUUUUUUUUUACUCGUCAGUACAUAGAACGUAAACUCACACAAAAUAACAAAUCAUUUAGAAGCGAUACUGAUGAAAAACUUCUUGUACAGGUGAAGAGCAUGUGAAGGCUGAUGAACCAAAAGCAGUUGAACCAAAAUCUGCGGAUGCAAAAUCUGCUGAGGCAGCAAAAUCUGCUGAAGCAGCAAAAUCUGCUGAGGCACCAAAAUCUCCUGAGUCAGCAAAAUCUGCUGAACCUGAAGAGGCAUCAAAAGCUAAAUAAUAGUCGAUACGCGCUACAAAUCACAGCAGAUUUUAUUUUUUUUUCUCAGCUUUACAAGACACAACUUGCUUGCAUUAUUUUUUGCAAUGGCCUCAUCAGAAGAUGCAAUUUUUUGAAUGAUCAUUUGCUGUUUCUAUCUAGUUUAAGACUUAUUUAUUGAUUUUUUUUGUUUUUGAUUUACUCAUGUUGUUAAUUGUGGAAGAGUUAUCAUCUAAGCAGCAGGCACAUUUUGUAUUACUUAUUUUUUGUUUUUUCUAAUGGCUUAGAGUCUUUGUUAGAUCAAAUAUGGCUGAGAUUAUUCAUUCCAUGUUUUUGAGGUUUCUAUUACAUACCCUGAAUCUAAGCGGCAAUUUGGUGCA